rnacentral:lncRNA from 1 species
CUUUGCAAACAUUUCCUUCCACAAGCUGCUUGUUCAUUCCGUUGGCUGACUUGGCUGUGCGGAAGCUCUGUUGUGGGUGGUCAUGUUUAUUUAUAUCUGCUUUUGUUGCCAGUCUUUCACAAAGCAGGGGAAGAGUUAUGGCUGGGGUCAUGGAAGUUUUCUCCUGCACCCCGUUCUAGUUUGAUGGUUUUAGAUUUUUACAUCUAGGAAUGGAUUCCUGUAUCCAGUAUAAGGUCCCACCCUCCCAAGAGUAAGCAAAGAAGAUUCAGACAAGAUAACCACAAAGAAGAGACUGAGACAGGACCAGCUUCCUAGAAGAAACAGAGACCAAGACAUUUGGGAAGGACACGCUCCAAACUUUUGAGCUGACUACAGGCUGUGCAAUGUGCUCCAGGUUCUUGACUUUUCUGAGCUGUCACCUGUGCUGUGGUAAACUUUGGUGAUGCAACUGUCCUUAAAUCAUUUCUGCUUUUGCAUCCAGACGUCUGGUGCACAUGCUGAAUUCCCAGAGCCUGUCUGGAGACAUGGGCGGGCUCUGCUCCCCUGACAUCUUUCCCCAGAAGCCUUUCUGUUUCUCCCUCUUUUUCCCUCCUGGAUUCUUCAGCAAAAAGGCUUACAGCUUGAGAGGGCAAAGUUUCUAGUUUACAAUCCCUGCUUCCCCCAGUGUUAAGGGCAUAUCAAGCCGUGCUUAAUGCAUGAGAAGGCUUAAUGAAACUUAGCAUUUUGGUUCUUGACGACUGGCCAGUUCACACGCCACUGACUCCCAAAGGAUUCAUAGUAAGUCUUUAACUUGACCCUUAGAAAGCAUUUAAGAAAAUUCAGGGAACCCAUCAAAACAAAACCCACAACCAGAUGCUGAGCUGUGAGCUAUGAGCAGCAGGCAUGUACUGGUCAAGGAAUUAGAUUACUCAAGGUGGUGACUCAUUCAGCAACUAUGUAGUGUUUGUGGUCGGGGAAACCUUCGCCAGAACAUGACUAAAAUCUAUUGGCAGCUUCUUAAAAGGAAUCAUGACGGGGCCUAAACCAAUGAGUAUAGAACAACUCCGACAGUCAGUUGGAUCUCUUCUUUCACCACAUGGUUCUGAGGACCAAAGUCAGGCUCAGUGAGUGUCCUGUCAACACCAGGGCACGAAAGAAAGAAGAUGCCACCCACCGGAUCAGUGAUUGAGACAGGACACAGGAAAAUUAGCGAUACAGAAAAAGACAAGGCCUAACUGUUCUUGAAAACACCUUAAAGGGCAUUUCCUUAAAGAUUGACCACACCUGCCUUUCAACUUGGCCUUUCGUACGAAUCUACCUGGAUGUCUGCCUGCCACAGUGCAGCCUUCCAACUUGGCCAUUGUCAUCCAAGAUUUUCUUUAUCAUUCUGAAUGCUGACUUUGGCUUUCAUGAACGGCCAAAAUGACAACUUGGAAUAAUAAAGUCCACUCAUUUUUAAAUAUGGCGGGAGACGUCUCAGGAAGAUUGAGGGCAUUCGGAUGGGAAAGCAGCCCUUCCUGAACUCACUUCUUCUUGGACUUUUAAUUCUCCAGUCAUCCCUCAGGCAGGAAUGAUGUCUGUAUCAGAAGAAUGGAAUGCAUGGCAGUAUUGGAGCCCUCCCUUGGGAGCUUUUAGCAUAAUUUGUGAUUGAGUUCAAGCCUGGAAUUUGUCCCGGCCCCUAAUCAAUCCUUAGGUAUUUCUGUUCUCUUCAUGUUCGUGGGGCAGGCUGCCCAUCUUGUUAUGGCCUUCCCUUGACAUUCUGAAAUACAACGUAUUGAUUG